rnacentral:rRNA from 1 species
GUGCCAGCAGCCGCGGUAAUACAGAGGGUGCGAGCGUUAAUCGGAAUUACUGGGCGUAAAGCGCGCGUAGGCGGCUUUGCAAGUCGGGUGUGAAAUCCCCAGGCUUAACCUGGGAACUGCAUUCGAGACUGCAUUGCUAGAGUAUGGGAGAGGGAAGUGGAAUUUCCGGUGUAGCGGUGAAAUGCGUAGAUAUCGGAAGGAACAUCAGUGGCGAAAGCGACUUCCUGGACCAAUACUGACGCUCAUGUGCGAAAGCGUGGGGAGCAAACAGGAUUAGAUACCCCCGUAGUCC